UACAGAGGUCCCAAGCGUUGUUCGGAUUCAUUGGGCGUAAAGGGUGCGUAGGCGGCGCGGUAAGUCGGGUGUGAAAUCUCGGAGCUUAACUCCGAAACUGCAUUCGAUACUGCCGUGCUUGAGGACUGGAGAGGAGACUGGAAUUUACGGUGUAGCGGUGAAAUUCGUAGAUAUCGAGAGGAACACCGGUGGCGAAAGCGGCCAACUGGACGAAUACUGACGCUGAGACACGAAAGCGUGGGGAGCAAACAGG
rnacentral:rRNA from 1 species